rnacentral:lncRNA from 1 species
UUCGAGCUUUGAAUUAUUUUUCUAAAAUAUGUUCAAGGCUCGUUAAUUGAUUUCAAAUGAUUUCGGACCCGAUCUUGGGCAAUCGGACUUGAGUAUUUACUCAAAAACGGAUUCUUUUACCUGUUUUAAUUCCGAAAAAUGUCUAGAAAUUCCAGAAAAUUCCCGAAAAAUCAUUUUUAACCCAAGACUUGAUUUAGUAUCAAUUGGGGUGGGAAACCUUAUGUGUAAUGUGUUGUCUGCUAUCUGUUUGAUGUGUUAUGUGCCGAUAAAGGAGUUAGAAAACGGUUUUGGUCAUAACUUUUGACUCGUAAUUCAGAAUGGAGUAAAACGAAAAAGAGGUUGAAGCUUAUAAAGUCUAUUUUAAUGUGACAUAAUAAUAUGGUGGAGUAUAGAAUGUGAAUAAUUGUUGUUAAAUGUAUAGAAUAUGAUUAUAUGUGAUCUAAUUGCUAUUAAAUGAUAAUUGCAUGGACUAUCUGAUUGUUCUAGUAUUACAUACAUGUGAUAAAUGAUUAAAUGACAUAGUGUCGUGUCUUGAUAGAUGUCGGAUAAAAGCAUAUGGAUUAUAGUGAUUGGAUUUGGUUGGUUGAUUGUUGAUUGAGAUAGGAUAACAGGUGGAUAGUCUAAUAAAUAGACGAGACGAUGUCGGAUUUUCGAUAAGAUUUAUAUGAUAUUUAAUUGAUAAUAUGUUAUGUGAAAUAUGAUUAGACUAUAUGGUAGAGUCAAAGCAUGAUUAUGUGUUAAGUGAUAUUUGAUGAGUUUAAAGAGUUAUAUAAGUGGGUAUCGAUAUACAUGAUAUGUGUAUGCGAUAGGUUAUGCUACCGAGUUGAUAAGUAGAAAUAAGAAUCAAUAGAUUAUUUAGUGAUAAUGGUAGUAUCUUAUCCUCGUAAAGGGUUUGGACGAGACGGAUACGAUCGAAGACGUUCAGAAGGUCAAACGAUGUUACAAAGCGAAUAAGGAACGAAUCGAGUAAACGAAGCAGUGUGGCGAAUAGAGUAUAGCCAAAGAUGGUCUAGAGACUAUGAUAUGCAUAGAGUGUGAAAGUGGAAAGAUGAGAUUGAGAUAUGAGACUGGAAUCGGAUUUAAGGCAAGUUUUCCUAAAUCCUUCCUCAUAUAUAUAUUGCAUGUUCUGAUUAUUUUGUCAAGAUUAUGAUAUUGUUUAUGCUGAGACCCUUCUCAAACAAACUCUUAUUUUUGAGAAUGAAACCCAUGAUUGUCUUCUACUUUCAAGUCUUUGAAAAGCCAAACACCCAAAUACUCUCAAUUUCUAUUACAAGUAUUCUGAUCCAUUCUUUCCCAUCCUCAAGAUUUUAACAGUAUCAGCUUUUUAAAUUAGUUCGAAGUUCAGACCGUCAUUGAAGCAUGGGUUGCUCAGUGAUAGUUAGAACCUAGAAUGAGUUGGGAUCUUCUUGAUUAUUCAACCCGCCAUUGUCAUGCUGGUUUAGCAGGCUAAAUUCAGUUGCUUAGCCGAUAAUGGAGGAUACUGAAUAGUUAGGAAUUUCCUGAACUAUGAUUUAUCAAAAUACAGACUGUGGUUUAUGAAAUGUUGAUCCUCAAAAGUUGAUUUGGAAUAUUUCUGUUGCUGAUAAUGAUUAUGAUUCUGUUCUGUUGAUUGAAUUGUCUAUUGAUUUAAAUUGUUAGAAUUGGAUUAGUUUUUAUAAAAUAUGUGGACCAGAUUCGUGGUCAGACCAGAUUCGUGGUCAAUUAUAGGCCAAUGUGUGCCUUGGAUCCAGUAUAGAGAACAGGGCUGUGUGCCAUGUUCGGGGUUAGUGCGUGACUGAUCAGCAGCCUAACCUUUGGUUUUUAAGUAAAAAUGUGAUGAAUCCAAUUCGACAAUUCUUCUGUAAGUUUGAAUUCUGAUUUCAAUUGCUGAUAAGAAUUGUGAAAUUUUCAAUUGCAUAUCCUGAACUUGUGAACCCUGAUAAAAUAUUUCAGGACUAUUGUUGCUUAUAUACACUUGCUGAGCAUUGUUGCUCACCCUUGCUAUUCCUUUUUAACCAUUUCAGAAAAGCUUAGAGAUGAAUUGCUUGAUUGAGAUUGCGAGUAUGGCUAAGGAUAAGCGAGGAGUAGGAGUUAUAGAAUAUCCAGAGGACAAGUGGAAUGUUCAGGGAGAUUGACAAGGUUGGUUCUAGAUAGAGUUGUAUUAUUGAGAUUCAGUUGUAAGUCAUAAUU